UUCCCUGUGGCUCAGUUGGUAGAGCAUGGUGUUUGCAACGCCAGUGUUACGGGUUCGAUUCCCACGGGGGAC
rnacentral:tRNA from 1 species